AUUGAACGCUGGCGGCAGGCCUAACACAUGCAAGUCGAACGGUAACAGGAAGAAGCUUGCUUCUUUGCUGACGAGUGGCGGACGGGUGAGUAAUGUCUGGGAAACUGCCUGAUGGAGGGGGAUAACUACUGGAAACGGUAGCUAAUACCGCAUAACGUCGCAAGACCAAAGAGGGGGACCUUCGGGCCUCUUGCCAUCGGAUGUGCCCAGAUGGGAUUAGCUAGUAGGUGGGGUAACGGCUCACCUAGGCGACGAUCCCUAGCUGGUCUGAGAGGAUGACCAGCCACACUGGAACGGAGACACGGUCCAGACUACUACGGGAGGCAGCAGUGGGGAAUAUUGCACAAUGGGCGCAAGCCUGAUGCAGCCAUGCCGCGUGUAUGAAGAAGGCCUUCGGGUUGUAAAGUACUUUCAGCGGGGAGGAAGGGAGUAAAGUUAAUACCUUUGCUCAUUGACGUUACCCGAAGAAGAAGCACCGGCUAACUCCGUG
rnacentral:rRNA from 1 species